rnacentral:tRNA from 2 species
GGGGCUAUAGCUCAGCUGGGAGAACGCCUGCUUUGCACGCAGGAGGUCUGCGGUUCGAUCCCGCAUAGCUCCACCA